rnacentral:rRNA from 1 species
UACGAAGGGGGCUAGCGUUGCUCGGAAUCACUGGGCGUAAAGCGCACGUAGGCGGGUCUUUAAGUCAGGGGUGAAAUCCUGAAGCUCAACUCCAGAACUGCCUUUGAUACUGAGGAUCUCGAGUCCGGGAGAGGUGAGUGGAACUCCGAGUGUAGAGGUGAAAUUCGUAGAUAUUCGGAAGAACACCAGUGGCGAAGGCGGCUCACUGGUCCGGUACUGACGCUGAGGUGCGAAAGCGUGGGGAGCAAACAGG